rnacentral:rRNA from 1 species
GAGGAAAAGAAACCAACAGGGAUUGCCUCAGUAACGGCGAGUGAAGCGGCAAAAGCUCAAAUUUGAAAUCCCCCGGGAAUUGUAAUUUGAAGGACCUAUUAAAACCCUGAGAGAGCCCAAAGUCCAUUGGAAAAUGGCGCCAUAGAAGGUGAUAGCCCUGUGUGGACCUCUCUCAGCAUACUUUUUAGGCCCAAAGAGUCGAGUUGUUUGGGAAUGCAGCUCUAAGUGGGUGGUAAAUUCCAUCUAAAGCUAAAUAUUGGCGAGAGACCGAUAGCGAACAAGUACAGUGAUGGAAAGAUGAAAAGCACUUUGAAAAGAGAGUGAAAAAGUACGUGAAAUUGUUGAAAGGGAAGGGCUUGCAAGCAGACACAACCUCGGUUGGGCCAGCAUCGGGGCGGGGGGAAACAAAAAAGGUGUGGAAUGUGGCUCUUACGAGUGUUAUAGCCCCACCCAAUAUUUCCAUCCCAUCCCGAGGCCUGCGAUUCUUCAAGGAUGCUGGCGUAAUGGUUGCAAGUCGCCCGUCUA